rnacentral:rRNA from 1 species
CAGUCGCCACGGGAAUACGGAGGGGGCUAGCGUUGUUCGGAAUUACUGGGCGUAAAGCGCACGUAGGCGGCUUGGUAAGUUAGAGGUGAAAGCCCGGAGCUCAACUCCGGAAUUGCCUUUAAGACUGCCGAGCUAGCAGGUGAGAGAGGUAAGUGGAAUUCCGAGUGUAGAGGUGAAAUUCGUAGAUAUUCGGAAGAACACCAGUGGCGAAGGCGGCUUACUGGCUCAUACUGGACGCUGAGGUGCGAAAGCGUGGGGAGCAAACAGGAUUAGAUACCCGCGUAGUCCCUGUCUCUUAUAC